AUUGAACGCUGGCGGCAGGCCUAACACAUGCAAGUCGAACGGUAACAGGAAGCAGCUUGCUGCUUUGCUGACGAGUGGCGGACGGGUGAGUAAUGUCUGGGAAACUGCCUGAUGGAGGGGGAUAACUACUGGAAACGGUAGCUAAUACCGCAUAACGUCGCAAGACCAAAGAGGGGGACCUUAGGGCCCCUUGCCAUCGGAUGUGCCCAGGUGGGAUUAGCUAGUAGGUGGGGUAACGGCUCACCUAGGCGACGAUCCCUAGCUGGUCUGAGAGGAUGACCAGCCACACUGGAACUGAGACACGGUCCAGACUCCUACGGGAGGCAGCAGUGGGGAAUAUUGCACAAUGGGCGCAAGCCUGAUGCAGCCAUGCCGCGUGUAUGAAGAAGGCCUUCGGGUUGUAAAGUACUUUCAGCGGGGAGGAAGGGAGUAAAGUUAAUACCUUUGCUCAUUGACGUUACCCGCAGAAGAAGCACCGGCUAACUCCGU
rnacentral:rRNA from 1 species